GUGGGGAAUCUUCCGCAAUGGACGAAAGUCUGACGGAGCAACGCCGCGUGAACGAUGACGGCCUUCGGGUUGUAAAGUUCUGUUAUACGGGACGAAUGGUACGACGGUCAAUACCCGUCGUAAGUGACGGUACCGUAAGAGAAAGCCACGGCUAACUACGUGCCAGCAGCCGCGGUAAUACGUACGUGGCAAGCGUUGUCCGGAAUUAUUGGGCGUAAAGGGCGCGCAGGCGGCGUCGUAAGUCGGUCUUAAAAGUGCGGGGCUUAACCCCGUGAGGGGACCGAAACUGCGAUGCUAGAGUAUCGGAGAGGAAAGCGGAAUUCCUAGUGUAGCGGUGAAAUGCGUAGAUAUUAGGAGGAACACCAGUGGCGAAAGCGGCUUUCUGGACGACAACUGACGCUGAGGCGCGAAAGCCAGGGGAGCAAACGGGAUUAGAAACCCCUGUAGUCC
rnacentral:rRNA from 1 species